rnacentral:rRNA from 1 species
AUUGAGCGCUGGCGGCAGGCCUAACACAUGCAAGUCGAGCGGAUGAAGGGAGCUUGCUCCUGGAUUCAGCGGCGGACGGGUGAGUAAUGCCUAGGAAUCUGCCUGGUAGUGGGGGAUAACGUCCGGAAACGGGCGCUAAUACCGCAUAUGUCCUGAGGGAGAAAGUGGGGGAUCUUCGGACCUCACGCUAUCAGAUGAGCCUAGGUCGGAUUAGCUAGUUGGUGGGGUAGAGGCCUACCAAGGCGACGAUCCGUAACUGGUCUGAGAGGAUGAUCAGUCACACUGGAACUGAGACACGGUCCAGACUCCUACGGGAGGCAGCAGUGGGGAAUAUUGGACAAUGGGCGAAAGCCUGAUCCAGCCAUGCCGCGUGUGUGAAGAAGGUCUUCGGAUUGUAAAGCACUUUAAGUUGGGAGGAAGGGCAGUAAGUUAAUACCUUGCUGUUUUGACGUUACCAACAGAAUAAGCACCGGCUAACUUCGUG